rnacentral:rRNA from 1 species
GAUGAACGCUAGCGGGAGGCCUAACACAUGCAAGCCGAGCGGUAGAAUCUUUUCGGAGAUUUGAGAGCGGCGUACGGGUGAGGAACACGUGUGCUACCUGCCUUUAUCUGGGAGAUAGCCUUUCGAAAGGAAGAUUAAUAUCCCAUAAUAUAUUGAGUGGCAUCACUUAAUAUUGAAAGCUCCGGCGGAUAGAGAUGGGCACGCGCAAGAUUAGAUAGUUGGUGAGGUAACGGCUCACCAAGUCUACGAUAUUUAGGGGGCCUGAGAGGGUGAUCCCCCACACUGGUACUGAGACACGGACCAGACUCCUACGGGAGGCAGCAGUGAGGAAUAUUGGACAAUGGGUGCAAGCCUGAUCCAGCCAUCCCGCGUGAAGGAUUAAGGUCCUAUGGAUUGUAAACUUCUUUUAUACAGGGAUAAACCUCUCCUCGUGAGGAGAGCUGAAGGUACUGUAUGAAUAAGCACCGGCUAACUCCGUGCCAGCCGCCGCGGUAA